rnacentral:misc_RNA from 1 species
GAUGAAGAACGUAGCGAAAUGCGAUAAGUAAUGUGAAUUGCAGAAUUCAGUGAAUCAUCGAAUCUUUGAACGCACAUUGCGCCCCCUGGUAUUCCGGGGGGCAUGCCUGUUCGAGCGUCAUUUCACCACUCAAGCCUCGCUUGGUAUUGGGCAACGCGGUCCGCCGCGUGCCUCAAAUCGACCGGCUGGGUCUUCUGUCCCCUAAGCGUUGUGGAAACUUUCGCUAAAGGGUGUUCGGGAGGCUACGCCGAAAAACAACCCCAUUUCUAAGGUUGACCUCGGAUCAGGUAGGGAUACCCGCUGAACUUAAGCAUAUCAAUAAGCGGAGGA